rnacentral:tRNA from 1 species
GGGCGCAUAGCUCAGUGGGAGAGCACUUCCUUGACGCGGAAGGGGUCGCAAGUUCAAUCCUUGCUGCGCCCACCA